AUUGAACGCUGGCGGCAGGCCUAACACAUGCAAGUCGAGCGAGCGGCGGACGUGUUAGUAAUUUCUGGGAAACUGCCUGAUGGAGUGGGGUAACUACUGGAAACGGUAGCUAAUACCGCAUCCCAUCAGAUAGGCCCAGAUGGGAUUAGCUAGUAGGUGGGGUAAUGGCUCACCUAGGCGACGAUCCCUACCUGGUCUGUGAGGAUGACCAGCCACACUGGAACUGAGACACGGUCCAGACUCCUACGGGAGGCAGCAUUGGGGAAUAUUGCACAAUGGGCGCAAGCCUGAUGCAGCCAUGCCGCGUGUGUGAAGAAGGCCUUCGGGUUGUAAAGCACUUUCAGCGGGGAGGCGUUACCCGCAGAAGAAGCACCGGCUAACUCCGUGCCAGCAGCCGCGGUAAUUC
rnacentral:rRNA from 1 species